GGCUCCUGCUUUUUGGGCUUGAUUGGCAAAACAUCCUCGCCAUGAAUAUCCACCCGAACUUAUAUGCCUAUGAAGGUGAUUCUGAUGUUUCUGAUGAUACUAAUGAUACUAAUGAAAGUAUGAUAUCAUUUCGGUUGGAAAAACUGGAAAAUCUAUUAAUGAAAAUGUCAAGAAUAUUGAUCGAAAUAGCGAUUUGUAUGGAGAGUUUCUCACAAAGAACAUCGUUAGGGAACCGCAAAAUACUUUAUUUGGAGAGAAUGCUUUGCCGUCAAGCGAAAUGGCAGGAAGUGAAAAUGCGCUUUAACCGGAAGUCCGCAUCUAUAACGGAGUAAGCAGAUUCAUACCGAUUGAAGAGAAGAUUUAUUAUAUCGAGAACGAAAAGAAGCAAAGCUGGUCGGGAGCCGAUGACGAAUGCAGGCUGAUGGGCGGUGUCCUCCUGCUUUUUGGGCUUGAUUGGCAAAACAUCCUCGCCAUGAAUAUCCACCCGAACUUAUAUGCCUAUGAAGGUGAUUCUGAUGUUUCUGAUGAUACUAAUCAUACUAAUGAAAGUAUGAUAUCAUUUCGGUUGGAAAAACUGGAAAAUCUAUUAAUGAAAAUGUCAAGAAUAUUGAUCGAAAUAGCGAUUUGUAUGGAGAGUUUCUCACAAAGAACAUCGUUAGGGAACCGCAAAAUACUUUAUUUGGAGAGAAUGCUUUGCCGUCAAGCGAAAUUGCAGGAAGUGAAAAUGCGCUUUAACCGGAAGUCCGCAUCUAUAACGGAGUAAGCAGAUUCAUACCGAUUGAAGAGAAGAUUUAUUAUAUCGAGAACGAAAAGAAGCAAAGCUGGUCGGGAGCCGAUGACGAAUGCAGGCUGAUGGGCGGUGUCCUGUUUAGUCCUCGAAACGCAGGGGCUUGGGAAACUCUAAGAAUGAACUUGGAGCAAAACAAGAAUUACUGGACGGACAUCCGCGUGAACGUCUCCUUCGUAUUAGGCAGCAGCGAUGAGAAGGCCCAAUUUCUGGAUUUUGAUCCGUAUAGUCCAAACCGCGAUACGUGCAUAGAAAUUGGAUAUAAG